UACGGAGGGUGCGAACGUUAAUCGGAAUCACUGGGCGUAAAGCGCGCGUAGGCGGUCUGUUAAGUGGGAUGUGAAAUCCCCGGGCUUAACCUGGGAAUUGCAUUUGUGACUGCACGGCUAGAGUGUGUCAGAGGGGGGUAGAAUUCCACGUGUAGCAGUGAAAUGCGUAGAUAUGUGGAGGAAUACCGAUGGCGAAGGCAGCCCCCUGGGAUAACACUGACGCUCAUGCACGAAAGCGUGGGGAGCAAACAGG
rnacentral:rRNA from 1 species